rnacentral:lncRNA from 1 species
AUGGAGACCACCUUAGCCUUCUCUACAGCCAGGCUGCAAACCCAGGAGGCGCCGGCCACCUCCUCCUCAUUGUGGCUCGGGGAGGAUCCUUUGGAAAGGUGGGAGACCCUUACAUAUCAGGAAGUGGAUUCCGGUGGCAGAAGCCCUGUGGGGGCUCUCGUUUCAGGUGAGAGGAGCCCAACUACGGAAGUUCCUCUUGAUUUUUCUGGAAGGAGCCAAGGGAGUCAGGAGCUGGGGCUGAAGCACCGCAGAUCUGCACAGAAAGCUCUUUCCCUCUCUGGGUCACUCUCCCCCCUGGCCCCCACCUCCACUGCCCAAGCACUUGGAUGGCAAGAUCCACUGAAACUUGUCGCCGAUGGCAGAGUGGGUGUUAGAAGCCAUUACGUCACAGCAGAGAGGACCGAGCAGAGGAAGCUGAGGAAGACACCUCAGGGGAUGGUUCAACGCGUGGAUUCUCGUGUCCAGCAGACCUCAGUUUGAAUCUUGGUCCUGUCAGCUUGUUAGUUGGGGUAUGAUUUUUAUCUGUCUUCCCACUUCUACCGUCAGUUCUAAAAGAGCAAGGACCACGUCCAUCUUAUUCCCCAGGGUAUUCACAGCUCCUGGUACAGAGACGGGGCUCAUGAAUGUCCAAGUUGCUUGUGUAAGUUUCCUGUUUCUCAUCUGUAAAAUGGGACUAACACAGCACCUGCCUUAUGGGUUGCUGGAGCACUGAAUGAGAAACUGUUGUAUACAGAAUAAGCGUGCAGCAAUGCCUUGGAUGACAAGCUGAUGAGCAGAAGCAAAGACACAGCCAGCCUAAUAUGGUAGAAAGAGCUUUCCCCUCGCUCUCAGACCAACAAGGGGUGAUAAUGCUAGUCAUAAGAAUCCUUGUAUUUAUGCAACACUCUGCAAAGUGCUUUCUGCUCUUUUUUGCUAAAUAUGGUUGAUUUAGUGUUUCAGCUGUACAGCAACAUGAUAUAUGUGUGUGUGUGUAUAACUGAAUAUACAUAUAUGUGUGUGUGAUGUUGUUACAAGUACUGAAUAUAGUUCCCUGUGCAGUAGGUCCUUGUAGUUUAUUUAUUUUAUAUGUAGCAGUGUGUAUCUGUUGCUAAUCUCAAAUUCCCGGUGUAUCCCUCCCUUCCCCUAAAGUGCUCUGUUACCAUUGACUCCUUACAACUAGUCAGGACUGGCUACCCGUGUUUUACACGUGAGGAAGCUGGGUUCAGAGGGCUUGGUGGAACACCCAGAGUUGCACAUUUGAGAGGCAGCAGGAGGUAGAAUGUAAGCUCAGGUUACUCUCAUCUGCCAGGUGUUCCUGCUGAGUUCUCAAUUGCCCACUGUGGGUAGAGGGUGCAAAAUUUAGACUUCUAAAUAGAAAAUGCCACAUACCGAGGGAUAAAUCUAACAAAAAUGUGCAAGGCCACCAAGGGAAAGUUAGGAAACUGGAGCUAAACUGUAUCCUAAAUCAUGAAAAGAGAUACCAUGUUCAUGGAAGUCUAAAUUUUGCACCCUCUACCCACAACGGGCAAUAGAGAACUCUAUGCUAUUGUAAGGGAUUCCCUGGUGGCGCAGAGGUUAAAGCGUCUGCCUGUAAUGCAGGAGACCUAGGUUCGAUCCCUGGGUCGGGAAGAUCCCCUGGAGAAGGCAAUGGCACCCCACUCCAGUGCUCUUGCCUGGAGAAUCCCAUGGACGCAGGAACCUGGUGGGCUACAGUCCACGGGGUCGCAAAGAGUCGGACACGACUGAGCGACUUCGCAUUCACAUUUCUGCUAUUGUCAAUGGUAUAUCUACCUAGAUCUUUCAACACAUUUUUUUAAAAAAUAUUAUACUACAUCGGUUGCUUUUCAGAGAAAUAUUUUUGGAUUUUGCAUGCUUUGUAUCUAGGAAUCUUGCCAAACUCUAUUACUAAUUUUAGAAAAUGUGCUUGUAGAUUAUUUUAGAAAAUUGUAUGCGAUCAUAGGAGGUGCAAAUAACUGUUUUGUUUCUUCCUUUUCAAUACUGCCAUCCCUUUUGGCUUGUGAUUUUCUUCUUUUCCUCUCUGUUAUGGAGGGCUGUCUACAUUUGCGAUUUUCCUUUCUGCUUUUUACUUGUCAGACUUUGGUGUCGAGGUUAGGCUGGCCUCACACCAGUGGACUGUGUUCCCACUUCAUCAGUUCUCUAGAAGAGAUUAUGUAAUCUGGGUGUUGUUCUUAUCAAGAGUUUUGAACUGACCCCUGCCAACCACCCCCCCACCCCCCCCCCCCCACAGUGGGUGGAAGCCAAGUAGAGGGCGGAGAAGGACAGCUGGUCUCAGCUCAGUCCAAGGCAGAACCUUCCAACAGGGAAUGGCUCGGGCUGCCUCAGGGAAGUGGGCAGAGCCCACUAACCCAGCUGUCCUGAGCACUGCAGGCAGCGCUGGGUAGGGUUCUUCCAGCCAUGCAUCCCAGAUGGAGUUCAGCCCAGGGUUAAAAUCUGGUGCCUGUCUCCUCCUCCUCAAGUUGCUGCAACUGCAGACCCAGCAUGAAAGAAUGUGAAAGUUGUGGAAGUAAAUGAGUUGCUCAGUCAUGCCCGAUGCUUUGUGACCCCAUGGAGCCCACCAGGCUCCUCUAUCCAUAGGAUUCUCCAGGGAGGAGUACUGGAGUGGAUAGCCAUGCCCUCCUCCAGGAGACCUUCUCGACUCGGAUCAAAACCCAGAUCUCCUGCAUUGCAGGCAGAGUCUUUUCCGCCUGGUCCACCAGGGAAGCUCUACUUGUGGUGAAUGAAUACUGUCUGUCCAGGGCCUGCAAUGCAAGGACCUGACACCACCCGCGCUCACCUCCUCCUUCUGUCUCUGUGACGUCAGUUUGCCUAGAAUUCCCCUGUUCCGACCUGGGACCACACACUCCUCCAGCCAUUUCCCCUGACCCCCAAGGGAUCUAGAUUUGGGCAAGUUUCUCAGUUUCUCUUUUACUGAAGUGCCAAGCCCUGAGCUAACUUGGAUCAUCUCUCUUAAUUCCCAAAACAAGGCCAUGAGUGAGCUCUAUGACCUCCCCAUUAUUCAGAUUAGGAAGACAGAGUUUCUAGUUGUGAAUAGUUUUAAUGGUUUCAUCUUUCACAGGAAGUUUUCCCUCUCUGGAGCUUUCCUGGUGGCCCAGACAGUAAAGAAUACACCUGCAAUGGGGGAGACCCAGGUUCAGUCUCAGGGUUAAAAGAUUCCCCUGGAGGAGGAAAUGUCAACCCACUCCAGUAUGCUUGCCUGGGAAAUCCCAUGAACAGAAGAGCCUGGCAGGCUAUGGUCCAUGGGGUCGCGAAGAGUCAGGCACAACUGAGCAACUAACACUUUCAUUUUUUUUUUUUUUUUACUGGGUCACUCUCUAACAUGUCUGGCUUUGGACAUCAGAUGACGGUGUCGCUCAGCCCUCUUUUCACAUCCUACCCCAGCUGUCCCCACCCCGUCCAGAGGCUCUGUCUUCUCUCCCUUGCCUCUGUCACCUGCAUCAUCAGCUCCUCAGUGGCUCUGUGUCUUCAGAGGCAGAGCGGCAAGCCCUGCACAUCUCCGGGGCGGGGGGGGGGGGGGGGAUGUGGGGGGGGCACCAUUCACAUGGUUUUCUAUCGCAGACCUCAGGGUUUGCCGCCUGGAACCCCAUCCUCAGCAGCAGGCCUCCUUCCUGGCUGUUUGGGUGUUGAACUUUCUGAUGAUUCUGGUGGCCAAGCCUCAGACAGGGCCAGGGCAGACGCUGGCUGGGCAGCCGCAGCUGGCGGAGAACAGUGCAGGUCCACGCCCUGCUGCUGGGGGCAUGCUUGAUGCUGUCUAGUCGCUCAGCUGUGUCUUUGACUCUCUGCGACUCCAUAGACUGCAGCCCGCCAGGCUUCUCUGUCCAUGGGAUUUCCCAGGCAAGAAUAUUGGAGUGGGUUUUCAUUUCCUCCUCCAGGGGAUCUUCCCGACCCAGGGGUCAAACCCAGGUCUCCUGCAUUGGCAAGUGAGAUCUUCACCACUGAACCACCUGGGAAGCCCGCGGGGAUGCUUGGCGGAGCAUAAAUGUUAACAGCUCCCAAAGCUGUUAACCUAACCCUAACCCCACUUCUUUCUCUCUCUCUUUUUCUUUCUUUCAAACUUUCUAGGCACUUUCUUUCUCACAAACUUUCUAGUUGUCCCUUGGUUUAUUCCUUCAGGAGAACUUCAUUUAUUUACUAGCUGGCUUUUCCCUGUUGCUAGACUGCAGCCCACCAGGCUCCUCUGUCCAUGGAGUUCUCCAGGUCAGAAUACUGGAGUGGGUUGCCAUUCCCUUCUCCAGGGCGUCUUCCUAACCCAGGGAUCAAACCUGGGUCUCUGUGUUGCAGACAGAUUCUGUACCAUCUGAGCCACCAGGGAAGCCCCUUCCUAGAGAAAAUAAUCACUAAAUGAAUCCAUCCCACUGGCCUUCUCCCUGAGCCCAAGUGAAUCCCAGUUCUAUCUCCAGCCCACACAUGUGAUCCUGAGGGUCCGUCAGGGUAACCUUGACACUGGGUCCUUCAUGGAAGCCUGUUUCCUUUCCUUUGUCUGUGGCAUCUCACUGCUUGUAUAGCCAGUCCACCUUGAUGGGCCUAAUUUGAGCCUCUGGGAGAACUAGCUUCUGCCUCCCUGGAGGAUGACGGUCUAACUUGUCGGAGGAUUCCCCACAGCAAAUUUGGGGGAAACGGUAAGUUCUGCAUUUAAAUCAGACCAUCUGAAAACAAGUUCAUGUGAGGCAGAAAGACACAGGGGCUUUCCCAGCGGCUCAGUGGUAAAGACUCUGCCUGCAACGCAGGAGAUGCAGGCAGACGUGCUCCAUCCCCCGGUCAGGAAGAUCCCCUGGAGGAGGACAUGGCAACCCACUCCAGUGUUCCUGCCUGGAGAAUCCCAUGGGCAGAGGAGCCUGGCGGGCUACAGUCCAUGGGGUUGAAAGGGUCAGACACCGCUGAGCAGAAAUGACAGGAAGAGGCAGAGAGACAAAACGCAAUUGUACGUGUGAAUUCAAUUGUGUGAAUGAUACUUGUAAAUUCAGUUUAAGGUGAAGAGUGAAGUUUCCAGCGCUAGAUGACCGAGGUUUGGAUCUCAGCUGCACCGCUUUGCAGAAUGUGUCCCCAGCAAGCCAUCUACCCUGUCUUUGCCGUGAUUCCUUCGAUUAGAAAGUGGAGUUGGUGACGGUAUUAACUUACAGGAUUGUUAUGAGUAUUAAAUGAGUCAUGAGGUUUGAAAGAAUUAAAGUUUGAAAGGCUUUGGAAACAGAGCCUGGCAACUCAUAAAUGUUUAUGAAAUAAA